AUGAGAGUUAAGCUUAGUUCAGCAAAAGUUUUGAACCCCUCAAGUGUGCCAGGUGCUGUACAAGGAGCCAGCAACACGCAUAUGAAGGAGACAUGGCCACUGUUGUGGAGGAACUCACAGGAGAGAACCAGGGUUGAGAAGAAAAGAAUCUGCCGGAUGCUGUGUUGCCAAUGGCUUAGUUGUCUGGAGGUGAGCAAGGAAGAUCUGCUUGGAUUAGUGCCACCAAAGGUGGGCUUAUUCUCCUCAUGGAGGUAGUCAGGACUUGGAAACAGCCAGGAUUUCAGGAGAGACGCAAGGCAAAAUGAACAAGAGAGCCUCUAUAACCUUAAAAAAAAAAAAAACAGAAGAAGAAGAAGAAAGAAAGAAAAGCACAAGCCAAUUACUUUUCCGGGAGCUGGCCUGAUGCAGUUCAAUCCGGAGUGGCCAACCUGUGAGGAACUGGGCACUUGCUGAUUUCAACAGAAACCCAGCUGAGGCUUCUCCACCCAGGAAGGUAUGAUCAAGUUAAGAGAGUAAUUGGUGAAAGAGAUUAUGAUUUGGAAAUAGCUGCCAUUUUGUUCCACUAAACAGAGUAGGUCAGAAAGAAAGAACUAAGCGAAACCAUUUAAUUAGUGCUCCUGAUGCUCAAAAAAGCUGGAGUCAAAAAUGAAACUCUCAGAUAGCAAACCUGUGUUCUUCAUUUUGGUGUCUUCAUUUAGAAUGGGACAGCGCCCAUGUCAGCAGCUAUGUUGAGAAAUAUUAAGCAGAAAUGAAAAAAUGCAAUAUAUAUAAAAAAUUGAAUAAAAUUGUCUCAAAAACAUAUUUAAAUAUUUUAUUUGAUUUUGAAUAGGUAAUACAUAUUCAGGGUACUAAACUUGUAUGGCACAAAAGGAUAAACAAUAAAGAGUAACUCUCCAUCUUAUCUCUGUCACAGGCAACCAGUUCUCACAGGAGGCGGCCUCCGUUACUCAUUAUAUAUGGAUAUUUCCAGACAUGUUUCAUAUAUCUGUACAUGUGUGUAUCAUGUAUGUACAUAUAAUUUUUUACACAGUUGGGACUACACUAUUUAUACUCAUCUGUGCUUUGCCUUUUUAUCCACAUAACAAUACAACAGUUAAAUAGGUUUCUGCAUCAUUACACAACUUAUUUUCGUGUUAUUUUUUAUCACACAACGUUCCAUUGUAUAGUUUCAUAAUUUAUUUAACCUGUACCCUACUAAUAACAUUUAGGCAGUUUCAAAUUUUUGCAUGUAUAACCAAUAUCUCAACAGAUCAUUGAUACAUAAAUCAUUUCACACAUUUGCAAAUACAUCUGUAGGAAAAAUUCCUCAAAUUGGAAUUGCUAAGCCAAAGGUAUGUGCACUUGUCAUUUUGAUAGAUAUUGACAAAUUUGCCUCAACUAAGAUUGUACCAAUUUAUACUUUAACCAUCAGCGUGUGAAAUGACUCACUCUCCCCUUCCUCAUGGACUCAGCAUGUUAUAAAAUGUGUUGAUCAUUGUCAAUCUGAUAUGAAAUAGCAUUUUCUGAUAAUUUAACUUGAAAUUCUCUCAUCUUUAGUGAAUUAAUAAUGCUUUAUCCCUUUUGAUUAAACUGUUAGACAUUUUCUUAUUGACAUAAUUUUUUCUAUAUUAAAUAUUCUAUAUUAAUUUUUUAUAUUAAAAUUAACCCAUUAAAGUGUGUCAAAUAUGGUAGCCAUCAGCACCAUAUGGCUCUUGAACACUUGAAAUGUGGCUAGUUCAAAUUGUGAUGCACACUAAUUAUAAAAUACCAGAUUUCUUUGAAAAAG
ensembl:lncRNA